AACCAACUUCUGAAUCUAUCAUCUAUUCGGCACAAAUAAAUCACGUUUGAACUCUUUUCUGGACAUAAAGGACUGAGUGUGAUUUAGCCCGUGUCCACUGUAUAUGUUAUCGCUACGAUUGGAUUUUCGACAACGAUGAUUGGACUUUUCUGCAACACAAUUCUCAGGACUCUUUUCGACAUUCGGGACAUUCGAGACACAUGUUGCAUGUUUCAACAUACUUUGAAAUCCAAACGCCAUCUCUUCAGCUGAAAUAUACAGUUCGAAGGUCCUGUGACUUCAUAAUAUGUUCAAUUCAGGAACAGGCCCUCAAACUUGAUAAACAGCACCGACGUGAAUUGCGUAUUUGCUAAAUUUUCAAUCAUCUAUCUCCAUGUGAACAUUUCGACGCGUGCUUCAGAAGCAGACAGAUAUCGACAGAUAUGGAAACUGGCAAUAAGAUGAACCAUUCUUUCAUAUAUCACCAUUAACUGAGGAAAGCAUAACUAAGAAGGGCCUGAUAUCAAAAUCGUCUACAGAAUCCGCCAAAGCCAAAUAUCGUCCUGACUGAUUCGAACCUUGCAAAAGGUUUGUUGAUUGGUCUGUGACGUGCAGAAAGGCUUCAAGAUUAAAUGCAAACUUUGACGAUUUCUACUACCAAGAACACGAUAUGGAAUAACAUUGCUGAACACUUAUUUAUGAAUAAUGUAUAUUGGACCUGAAUCGACGAUUGCCUGAGGAAUUCUAUUGGAUCCUUUUUAUUGUGUGUGCAAGGAAAUAUUUGUUGGAUGGAUAUUCAAUCAUUUGGAUUAUAUUCCUGCCAGACUGAACCGGAGAAUGCUGAGACUGAACAACUAGAUGUCGGGAUCUCCGAGGGCAAAAUGUAAACGACAUUAACGCCUCGACGUGGAUUCAAACCCUACAUCGACAUCUGCAUGCUAUUAAAUAUGAAAAUGUUUACAUGUUCAUAAAUGGGUAAGUAUCAACAGAUUACUGGAAGGGAAAGAGAACGACUGCCAGGGAUACAACUUGUAUAUAGGCUCAUACUAUGUGACAAACAUGGCCACCAGGCGACGAGCUGACGAACCGAGGCGAUGGGAUACGACAACGAUGUAGCGAAGAAGGUGACCUACAGAGCGACCACGACGGCUACCAGGUUACGACUAUGGUGAUGGUGAGCAAGCGAUUACGAGACUGAUGGCGACCACGGUAGUAACCAGCGAGGGAAGAAGGGCGGCGGCCAGGGUGACUACCAGGGUGAUGGCAACCAGAGCAACGAACAAGAUGACGGCAACGAUGAUCAUCAGGAUGGAGCCUACCAGGGCGACGGCAUGGACGGCAACCGGAUCUUUACCACGGUAAAGACGACCGAGCCGGGGCGACUACCAAGUGAUAGCUCCGGAGAUAUACAAGAUGAUACACCCUUUGUCUCUUCGCUGCUAAGAAGACGACGAGUGAACUGUAAUCUUAGAUGCUUCCCAGAGAUCACAAUUUAAGUCUGCAGAUGCAAACAUGAGCUACAAGCUAGAUGACAUCCAUGUCAAUGACAACUGCUCUUCACACAAAAAAUAUCAGGACUUCGACGCCCACGCACGAACAAGGGAGAAGCCAAAAAUGAAAUAAAUUUGAAAGAAAGCUUUGAAUCUUGCACAACCAAAAUAAUGUCAUAAACUGUUGCUUGAAAGAGGAUUCUGCAUUAGUUAUUUUCAAUGAUGUACAUCUACAAACAUUCGAGACAUUGGAGGCAGUUUUAAGUGAGAGAG
rnacentral:lncRNA from 1 species